GGAAAGGGUUAACAGCGUCAAGGACUAUUUAACAAUUAAGUGGACCCAUCAAUUGAGUUAAGUUAACUGUUCAGGUUCCUUAAAGAACAAGUUCGCAUUUACAGACCAUAGUUUCAUGCGCCUUGCAGCCCCUAGAUGGCAGGAUUCCAUGUUCCGAAGACAGAAAACGUAAUUUUUUU